ensembl:lncRNA
UUUUUUUUUUUCUUUUUGUUUAUCCCUCUGCCUUCUAUACAUGAUGUUCCCUGUUUGCUUCACUUGGACACUUGGGCAGAGGCCAGGGGAAUACACUGAACUUGGAAAUAAAACAGGUACUCAGCAAUCCAAAUCCAAAAGCUUGAGCUACUUAGAAAACUGCAAGCCCUUUGAGAAAAUCCCAGGAAAACCUUCCUGAUCCACAUUUGAACAGCACCUCAGGGAGCAGAAUGAUGCUGGGUAGCUGCUGUAACUGCUGGCUACAGUGACUGCCGUAAUUAAUACAGAAAAUGACUUGGAAAUGAAAUUUUCUUUCAGUAGAGGAUGGCAUCAGAACAAAACUAACGAUGGUGGUUUGUUGGGUGGACAGAGUAGGAACAAGACUUGUGCCAUUCAUCAUGGACCUUUUAUUCAGUGCAAAAGGAAGUCACCUGCUCCCAGACCCAUGUCUCAUGCCAGUCACAUCCAGGCGCACAGAGUAUGCCCAGAUACAUACUGUUGGGCUUGCUAACGGCAAGGUCAGACAGAGUGACCUUGAAGCCACCCAGGGAGCACUCAAAAUUCAACAGAGACAUACCCAGACACAACUGGUUGCUCCCCAUACUUUUCCAUUGCCCAGAGCAAGCACCAGUAUAUUGCUCAUCAGUGCAGCCCAGCUGAGAGGGCUGACCAUGAGGAGAACAGCCGAUGUGCUGAUUCAGUCUAAAUAGGACUUUCCAGCAGGAAUCUGGAGCAAUCACAGUGAAUGAUGUUGCUGCUCACCUUGUGCACGAGAUAGAGCAGUUUCCCCACUGACCUUUUCAGUGCUUAUGAGGAGGGCAAGCAUUUCAGCACCUACACCACCUGCGAAUUUGGUAUUCCCCUCAAGGAUAUAAAAAAUUAGGUCAGAGGUUUUUUUCUUCCCCUUGCAUUCCUGCAAAGCACAUUAGAGCUCAAAUCCUCAAGACAAAGCAUUAUUAUUAUUGUUGUUAUUUUUUUAUGGUGGAAAAAAAUAUUAAUGUUACAAAUAGCUGCCAUUAGCAGAAGCAGAGCUGCAUAUUAAUAUGCACAUGGGUGUCUCCACUGUCAGGAAGCAGAGAGGCCCCAGAGGCCCUGCUUUCACUGGGGAAAAUGAUGAUGGCAUUAGCUCUAAUGAUAACGAUAAGGGAGCUGCCAUAAAUGAUUUGACGAUUUCUUUCAUAUUCCUGUUCGGGCAAAGACUUCUUCCUUGCUCCCCAGUGUCCACAGAAGGAUGCUGAUGGAACAAACGGCAGCUCAACUGAUUUAUUUAAUUUCACCACAGCUUUAGGGUUUUCUUAAAAGUGCCAGCAUCUUGGGUCAUGUGACUAAGGAAUUCAUUUAAAUCCUUUCAGCUAAAUUGCUAAUGGCCAAGAUUUUGGAGAACCAGCUACUAAAUAAAUGGAAUUCCACAUUUAUUUAUGAUUUUUAAAACCUUGAGUCUUUUUGGACUAAGGAUACUAUUAUAUCAAAGGACAGCAGGAGAUACGAAGGAAAAAAAAAAGAGAUAUGAAAAAAAUAACCCGCAAAUAAAGUUGUCUCUGAUGUAACAUGUUCUCAACCCAAUCACAGCCUGCCUCUCCCUUCACUUACUUUUGUCCCUGUGUAUGCAUUUAGGAUGCAACAGCAGAACUUUGUGACUGUGCUAUGAAUCAGAUAAGAACAGAUCUGGCUGAAGAGUAACAAAGCAAAAGAGAGCACUGAGGGGGACUUCCUACAGAGAGGCUUUGGAUGUGCUCAGCAGCACACACCUGCACAGAGACAUGCUGGUACAGAUGAGAGGGCAGAAAAGCGUGGGCUAGGCUGCUCCUCUUACUGAGAAAAUGCACACUGGACUACAGAAAGAGAUGCAGAGGGAAGAUCUGGGUUCCUGGGACCCAUGUGUCAAGACACUGUCACACCCUGUUUUGGCUCUUCCAGCUGAGAUUCCUGUUUUUCUUUAGGCCAGAGGGAAAGCUGAAAUUGCUAUCCCCCAGCUGUGACGUUGAGGCAUUGGUUAUGCAAUAGGACUUGGCUACAACAAGUGCAAAAGCAUUUCUUUGCUGAACUCUGCAUCUGAACAGGGACACAAGAUGAUUCUCUCUGGCUCUGUAGCUUCUGAACUAAUUACACAGCUUUGUGAGAUGCCACUGCACAAGGUGUCUCUUCUCUGGAAUUGUCUGUCAUGGCUACAAUGUGCAACAGGGAUCUGAAUACAUUAAAGUGUCAAGGAGGUGGGGAUUCUAGGUUUUGGUCUGUCAGCUUCUGUGCUGAAAACCCUAUUGAGUUCAGCUAAUAUACUACACUAUCCGCUUUUCGGUUUUCCCGUUUGUUCGUGUGAUGUACAUCCUGAAGCUCAUCAGAGGGAAAUGUCAGCUUUACACCAGCAAUAACAUUCUUUGCAGCAAACUCAAUCCAAACAGACGAGCCAAAGACACAAAGAGCCCUACAGAAGACGCAAAGAGCCCUACAGAAGACUGCCCCAGAUAAGAUGGCCAGAUGAAAAUUCUUGAUACAGAGAAAAAUCCAAAGGUUGGCAUGCACAGGCCAGUAGCACAGGUGUUAUGGAAAGACAGCCUGCCCCACUCACAUGCUUCAGGAUACAGGGCACAAGCCUCACAAUCUGCCUCUCAGGUAAUAUCUGCCCCAGAUAAUACAACAGCAAAUAGAGGCAUCUUUGCAUUACAAAACAGCCAUACUUAAGCUGCAAAACUGGUGGACUCAAGAUGGAAGACAUCAGGGUACUACAAAACAUAAAUUCUAUUUGUUCUUCUUUUCUGUUCCUUACUCUCUUUCCCUUAGACUUAGUUGAGUGUUUCAAGCUAGUAUCUCAAACUCAGCCCUCACAUAGCUUCUUAAACGCUUAUUAUUCUAUCUGGUCUGCUCAGAAGAAUGUUUUCUUAUCCAUUUCCUUGUUUGGAAACCGAACCUCAGUCAUCCAACAGAAUUCCUCUGCAGAGACAGCAGGACUAUCCCAGCAUGAAUGGAACAUAAUGGUGACCAUGCUUGGGAAAUGCCACAUUACCAUAAACCUCCACUUUUGGACAUAACCAGAACAAAGGGCAGUUUUGUAUUUUGCUAGCUAAACUCAGUAAGGUAGUGCAGAUAAUCUAGAAAGCUUCUCUAAACAGGGGCUCAACACUACAAUUGUAAGCAGAAGCACAUACACACACUGCACAAAUGAUAUAAAUUAAAACCAGCUAUUCAAUACUGUCUCCUACUGUGAAAAGUUAAAAGAAUUAAACUAAUAUAUGAAGUCUGUUUGAUGUUUCUGUACAACUAGACUUUAUACGUAUACACAAAAGUCUGUAUUUCACUUGCACUUGGAUUUCCAAACAUGUAAUUUGCUGGUCUCCCACACCAGCAUUAUGUGGUCUACCACAUAAUGCCUGUGGGCUUAAAAAGAGGAGGAGCAACCCUGAAUCAUACACUGUUUGCAUGAUCCUGGAAGCCAAAUGCACAAACCCAAAGCUAUUCUCUGGAGAGCUGUAGGGCUCAGCAUGUAACAAGGUAGAUGGUAUAGAGGCAGCUGUAAGGAACUUGAAAAGCCACAGAAUGAACUGCAGCUUGCUGCAUGCUAAGUCCAUACAGACAUAAAUCUUGAUUUCAAAUGUUGUCAUCAAGACUUCAGUGCCAAGUGGAAAUAAGAGUGAUAAAAAUAUAUUUUCAGAAGCACUUUGUCAGGCUCGGGUCAUGCACCACAAGAACGUGGUGUCUGAAAGGGGAAUCAGCCUGGCAGGCACACUUUCUACAGCCUGCUGUUCCCACACAACUUGCAGUUGUACACAGGCACUGCAGUCACCACAAGACAGGAAUUGUACAAGUGCCUGUUCCAAGACCAGCACACCCUUCUGGCACCCAUGCUAAAGAGAGAAUGCAUAGGUAAUGCUCAAUGAUCUCAUUAUAAACCAGCCUGGGGGAGAGGAAUAGUGACAAAUAAAGAUUAGAUACGCUUUUGACUGCAGAUCACAUUCCAUUAGCCCAGGCCAGGAUAGCCAUGUACAUAUCUAUGCUGUAAGCACCGCAACACAGGCAGUGAUUUACUGACAAGGUAUAAAGCAAUGCAGCUUAACCAUCCCAAUCACUGGAUCACACAGUCACAAGACAUCUCUUUUUCCAACAUUUUUUCUAGCAAAGACUUACGAACAGACAAGAGAGCCAUGAACACCUGAGGG